rnacentral:lncRNA from 1 species
AUGUUUUUGAUGAUCAGAGUCCACAAUCUAUUAACUCCACUGAACGACAACGAUCUGGAUGAAACUGUGAUCCAAAUUCUGCAGCAUCAUCCCAUGAUGCCCCAACAUCAUGGUCACAAAAUGAUGUUGGGGCACCUCAGUGCACAAGGCAUCCGCAUACAGAGACAACGUGUGCAGGAAUCCAUGGGGCGUGUGGAUUCUCAGGGAGUUUUGCUGCGCACCCUUCAGCUAAACCCACGAAGGCGCAGGAGGUACUCUGUACCAGCGCCAAACAGUUUGUGGCACAUCGACGGAAAUCACAAGUUAAUAAGAAUAGAGAGGCUCUGGAGAUAUGUUUACACCGGAGUGCUUGAUCUCUUCUACAGCAUCUUUAACAACCUUGAGAGAGAAGGGCUUCUAAAUCCUGACAGCGAAGUUCAUGUGUUUGCUCUACAUUGGUGCUUUCUGCCUCACGUUCAGAAGCACCUUGAGGUUUUCUAGCGUGGCUGGAACUGCCACCAACUGAGCACUGAGGGAAAUCAGUCCCCACUUCAGCUGUGGUCUCGCCAUGAACAUGAGGCACAGCAGGACCUCAUGCAGGUUUGAAUUUAUUAUUUUUCUAUGCCCUACAUAGUAUGUCUACAUUCUAACCACCUCAUCUGAUAUUGUACAAUUACAGUGUUUCAAUUGUUAAUCCAGGUACAGACCAUUCAAAAGUCCUGUACUGCACACCUUUAUCAGUAGAAUAUUGUAAGUUAGAUUGAUAUCUAGGAACUAAAUGGAGAAUUAAAUUUUUAGUUCUUGCUAUAAUGUUGGGAUUAAACAAGGAGCAGUAAUUUGUGGUAAAUAAACAUUAUAGCUCUCUCAUCCAACACCUAAUUUGAUAAUUACCACAAUGACUUAAUCACUCCUUUAUUAAAAGGUUGUCACGGACUAUGGAGUUGACUGGACUGGACCAAAUGGUUAUCAUCAGCCUGAUGUUGUGGUCCCUGAAGUUCAGCUACAGUGCUCGCUGAUAGAGCAGGAAAUACAAAGACUACCAAAACCUGAUGGCCCUCUGUCCAAUGUGUUGGAUGUCUACAUACAAACUGUGAGCCAGUUAUCAGAAAUGCUCCUGUAAAUUCCGGAUUCAAAAGCUGUAAGAUGCAGAAGGUUUAACCUAAAUAAGAAGCAAGUAGUAGUUAAUGCUGUACUUUAUAACAGCUGUGAUACUAAUGGGAUUUCCUGUAAGAUUCCUAAUUUUCUUAGUUAAAAUCACUAAUUAAAGACGUAUUCUGAUGGCCCUCUGUCCAAUGUGUUGGAUGUCUACAUACAAACUGUGAGCCAGUUAUCAGAAAUGCUCCUGUAAAUUCCGGAUUCAAAAGCUGUAAGAUGCAGAAGGUUUAACCUAAAUAAGAAGCAAGUAGUAGUUAAUGCUGUACUUUAUAACAGCUGUGAUACUAAUGGGGAUUUCCUGUAAGAUUCCAAUUUUCUUGUUAAAAUCACAAUUAAAGACGAUUCUGAGAGAAAUCAUUGUCUUUAUUUGACAGCAGUCUUCAUAUAAAAUACUUACUGCAUUGUACAACAUACUCAUGAACAAAUUCGUCCUGAACACAAUUCAAACCUAUUGGACAUCCUUGGACAUAACUGUCCCAUUGUAGUUAAAAUUUGUUGUUUUGAAGCAUUUAGCUUAAAUGAAAUGAAAGACAGACAUUAUGUAAAUCACAAUGAUCAAGUACUGGUUGUUUCAGAAAAAACAUAUGGAGAAAAAAGGGAACUCCAAUUUGUCUUAUUUUUAACAAUGUACACAGAUCUUUUGACUGAACAACUUAAAGCAGGAAAAGCACAGCUGUAAAUAAUAAUGCUAUGACAUGCAAUGUCAUUGAGACAGCAUUAACAUUACCAGAAUGCUGGAACUCUUUAAUAAACUUAAUGCAGCAUUCUAUAAUGUAUUCAAUUAAUUAUACCAAUUGACUAGUGUUAUUGAACCAAACACAGAAAUGCUUUACAUAAAGUACUUAAUAAAAUUAUGCCUCAACACAUGACAAGCUUGCAGCCUUUACUUGCACAGUUUUACACACAGAACUAGGUGCUACAUGCAAAUGCUUUUUAUCUUUAACUCUGAACUCAUUCCACUGUUCAGUACAGUUUUACUGUACUAUUUUUAAAAAAAAUCAAAGGCAACAAUAUAACAAAAUGUUAUGGUGCACACAUUAUAUAUGAUGAAUGUCCCUAGACCAUUCCAAAACCAGUAUCAACACUCAAAAUAGCAGCAUGGACUUCUCUUUCAAAGACACUAUAUUCUUUGUAAUGUCCUGGGAAGCACAUUCCAGCCCACCCAGAACUGCACAAGUUUUCCAAGUAUGUUUGGAGAGGCUACCACAGGAGAGAAAAAAGGGCAUUUUUCUGUUAUUGUUGAUAAUGGGUGUCUAUCUAAUACAAAAAACAAAAGGUUCACUAUUAUCAUUUUAUUAUCAAAUAUGUACUUUGAUUUGUUACUGUAAGACCCACACUGAAAGAUUCAAAUAGAGGAAGCACAUUCUUUUGUCAGCUUCAGUUAUUUCUCUGUCCCAUUACAAAGCUCCAGUUAAAUAACCUGUGAGGGACUAUUACAUUAAAGGGAUAGUUCACUUUAAAAUGAAAAUUCUGUCAUCAUUUACUCACCCUCAUGUUGUUUAAAACCUGUAUGAAUUUCUUCUGCUGAACAGAAAGGAAGAUAUUUAGAAGAAUGUCAGUAACCAGACAGUUUCUGGGUCCCAUUGACUUCCAUAGAAUAUUUUUUUCCUACUAUGGAAACAUUAACAUUAACGUUAACAUUAGGCCUAUCUGGCGGCUGAGGUGAUGAAUUUGAUGAACCACCCGAUGCUGCACAAAAAGAUAUGCAAUGUGAACUUAGUGAACGCCGCAUGGUUGGUAAAUUUAAUUAAAGUUAAUACAUUUGCCGAUAUUAUAAGUUAGGUAGUUAACGUCAUUAAAAUGCGUCUGUUAACAUUUGCUAAUGUAAAAUCACUUUAUGUAGUUGCACUGGGUGUUGGGGUCGAUCUGAAGGAAGUUAAAGUUAGAAACUCACUUCUUUUGAGCUGGUGAGCCACAUCGCGCAACAGGUCCGCCAACGGCCUCCCACUUGAAGCCAUUUCGUCUCUCCAGCUGGAGAUCCCACAUGCAUAAAAUGCUGGAGACACACAGGAUCCGCUGAUGGAUGUCACCAAUCAAUCAGUAGAUCCGACUGCGCAGUGCAUGAUGGACCUGUCCGAAGCAAAGCAUCAGGGUCACAACAAACUGUAAAACUAGGCAAUGCUGAACAAAUAUGAAUCAAGAUUCUGUUGCUGGAUUGUCUAUUUCUCGACUUAAAUCUUUUCAGAAAUAUAUUUCAGUGUACUGUUACCUCUAAAAUGGGAAAGUUCCUGACCCGACCGCCAUGUUGAAAACGGACGAUCCACAGUUAAGCACCGCCCUACUCAUUACCAUAGAUAGAUUGUAUUACACACUAGCCGCAGCAUUCAUAGGUAGCCUGAUAGAUGGAUCGUUUGCUUCUGUCUGGUUAGCGAUGCGGCCUCCAGCUAACCAAUCCUUCUUCAGAUCCGACUGCGCAGUGCAUGAUGGACCUGUCCGAAGCCUUUACUUGCACAGUUUUACACACAGAACUAGGUGCUACAUGCAAAUGCUUUUUAUUCUUUAACUCUGAACUCAUUCACUGUUCAGUACAGUUUUACUGUACUAUUUUUAAAAAAAAUCAAAGGCAACAAUAUAACAAAAUGUUAUGGUGCACACAUUAUAUAUGAUGAAUGUCCCUAGACCAUUCCAAAACCAGUAUCAACACUCAAAAUAGCAGCAUGGACUUCUCUUUCAAAGACACUAUAUUCUUUGUAAUGUCCUGGGAAGCACAUUCCAGCCCACCCAGAACUGCACAAGUUUUCCAAGUAUGUUUGGAGAGGCUACCACAGGAGAGAAAAAAGGGCAUUUUUCUGUUAUUGUUGAUAAUGGGUGUCUAUCUAAUACAAAAAACAAAGGUUCACUAUUAUCUAUUUAUUAUCAAAUAUGUUACUUUGUAUUUGUUACUGUAAGACCCACACUGAAAGAUUCAAAUAGAGGAAGCACAUUCUUUUGUCAGCUUCAGUUAUUUCUCUGUCCCAUUACAAAGCUCCAGUUAAAUAACCUGUGAGGGACUAUUACAUUAAAGGGAUAGUUCACUUUAAAAUGAAAAUUCUGUCAUCAUUUACUCACCCUCAUGUUGUUUAAAACCUGUAUGAAUUUCUUCUGCUGAACAGAAAGGAAGAUAUUUAGAAGAAUGUCAGUAACCAGACAGUUUCUGGGUCCCAUUGACUUCCAUAGAAUAUUUUUUUCCUACUAUGGAAACAUUAACAUUAACGUUAACAUUAGGCCUAUCUGGCGGCUGAGGUGAUGAAUUUGAUGAACCACCCGAUGCUGCACAAAAAGAUAUGCAAUGUGAACUUAGUGAACGCCACAUGGUUGGUAAAUUUAAUUAGUUAAUACAUUUGCCGAUAUUGUAAGUUAGGUAGUUAACGUCAUUAAAAUGCGUCUGUUAACAUUUGCUAAUGUAAAAUCACUUUAUGUAGUUGCACUGGGUGUUGGGGUCGAUCUGAAGGAAGUUAAAGUUAGAAACUCACUUCUUUUGAGCUGGUGAGCCACAUCGCGCAACAGGUCCGCCAACGGCCUCCCACUUGAAGCCAUUUCGUCUCUCCAGCUGGAGAUCCCACAUGCAUAAAAUGCUGGAGACACACAGGAUCCGCUGAUGGAUGUCACCAAUCAAUCAGUAGAUCCGACUGCGCAGUGCAUGAUGGACCUGUCCGAAGCAAAGCAUCAGGGUCACAACAAACUGUAAAACUAGGCAAUGCUGAACAAAUAUGAAUCAAGAUUCUGUUGCUGGAUUGUCUAUUUCUCGACUUAAAUCUUUUCAGAAAUAUAUUUCAGUGUACUGUUACCUCUAAAAUGGGAAAGUUCCUGACCCGACCGCCAUGUUGAAAACGGAAGAUCCACAGUUAAGCACCGCCCUACUCAUUACCAUAGAUAGAUUGUAUUACACACUAGCCGCAGCAUUCAUAGGUAGCCUGAUAGAUGGAUCGUUUGCUUCUGUCUGGUUAGCGAUGCGGCCUCCAGCUAACCAAUCCUUCUUCAGACUGAUGUUGGCACCCCCAACUCAAUUAGCAUACAGGCGCAGGGAAAAAUACAUGUAGAAAUGUGGAAAUACAGAAAUAAAUAAAUUUAGAAAUGUGGAAAUACAGAAAUAAAUAAAUGUAGAAAUGUGGAAAUACAGAAAUAAAUAAAUGUAGAAAUGUGGAAAUACAGAAAUAAAUAAAUGUAGAAAUGUGGAAAUACAGAAAUAAAUAAAUGUAGAAAUGUGGAAAUACAGAAAUAAAUAAAUGUAGAAGUAAAUAAAUGUAGAAAUAAAUAAAUGUAUAAAUGAAUAAAUGUAGAAAUAAAUAAAAGAAGAAAUAAAUAAAUAUGGGAAAAAAUAAAUAUAUACAUAAAAAAGGAAAUAAAUGUAUAAAUA